AGAUUAAGUUAUUAAGGGCGCACGGUGGAUGCCUUGGCACUAGAAGCCGAUGAAGGACGUUACUAACGACGAUAUGCUUUGGGGAGCUGUAAGUAAGCUUUGAUCCAGAGAUUUCCGAAUGGGGAAACCCAGCAUGAGUUAUGUCAUGUUAUCGAUAUGUGAAUACAUAGCAUAUCAGAAGG
rnacentral:rRNA from 1 species